rnacentral:rRNA from 1 species
GGAAGGUUGAUUCGGGAUCACAACGAACCUUACCGGCGCGCUUAACACAUGCAAGUCCUACCAAAAAGGUUAUCCGCCCCGGUAAAGGGGAUGUCCGUGUGAGUAGGAGGUGGGUAAUGUGUGCUCGAGGCGGGGAUAACAUUCCCAAGGGAGUGCUAAUACCCGAUAAUACCACAUCCUCCAAAGGCGAGGAGGUAAAAUGCAGCCUCUUCUCGAAAACGAGGACUCUUGGAGGAGCCCCCGCCCCCUCUCCUAUUUUGUAUGGCUGUGGCCUACAACAGUGAAGACGGGGAGCUGGGCUGAGAGGAUGAUCACAUGACACUGUAGCUGUAACACCGUCUAUACUCCUAGUGGAGGCAGCAGUGCGGGAAUCUUGCGCAAUGUGCGAAAGACUGACGCGGUGACACCGCGAGUGUAAUGAAGGCCUUCCGGUAGUAAAUGCCUGUGGCGAUAGAGCAACAGACCAUGGUUAAUAUUCAUGGAGACGACGGUAUUUCCUUAAUAUGCAGCGGCUAAGUCUGUGCCAGCUGCCGCGGUGAGACAAAGGGCGCCUACGUUGUUCUGAAUUACUGGUUGUAAAGAGUGUGUACGCGGCUGCUCAGGUCGUAUGUUGAAACCUCACGCUGCACGCGGACUGUGCAGUCCAUAAUGCUUAGCUCUAAUAUCGGAGACGAUGAUCAAAUUCUCCGCGUCGAUGAGAAAGUAUUAUAUAAGGAGAGGAACACCAGUGGGAUCGCCGGCUUUUGCACCCACACUGCCGCAGACAGACGACAGAGUGGGUAGCGAACAGGAGUAUCUACACUGGUAUUCCAUUCUGUAAAUUAUGCGUGCAACGUUGCAUUGGGUAUUGAAUCCUGCGGUGACCGAGUCAACGAAUUAGGCUCCCAGUUGGGGAAGUGAGGUCC